rnacentral:tRNA from 1 species
GCUGGGUUUUUGGCUCAGUGGUAGAGUGGCUUGCUUGGCAUGCAUCAGGCACUGGGUUCAAUCCUCAGCACUGCA